UACGUGAGCCCGAGCGUUAUCCGGAAUUACUGGGCGUAAAGUGUGCGUAGGCGGAUUCUUAAGCAAGAUGUGAAAUCCCCGGGCUUAACCUGGGAAUGGCAUUUUGAACUGGCAGUCUAGAGUGUGUCAGAGGGGGGUGGAAUUCCACGUGUAGCAGUGAAAUGCGUAGAUAUGUGGAGGAACACCAAUGGCGAAGGCAGCCCCCUGGGAUAACACUGACGCUCAUGUACGAAAGCGUGGGUAGCAAACAGG
rnacentral:rRNA from 1 species